rfam:Populus trichocarpa isolate Nisqually-1 chromosome 4, whole genome shotgun sequence.
UAAUAUAUUUGGGACAAAUCCUUAUUUCAAAUCUAUACCUGAUUACUCAAAAUCACCCAUUACCACAAGUUGAACAAAAUAAUUGAAUUUUUACUUUGUAGCACCUCAAAAGCGUGACAUUUGGUAAAAUAUUAU